GAUCAUGGCUCAGGACGAACGCUGGCGGCGUGCUUAACACAUGCAAGUCGAACGAGAAUCUAUUGAAAGAGUUUUCGGACAAUGGAAGUAGAGGAAAGUGGCGGACGGGUGAGUAACGCGUGAGGAACCUGCCUUGAAGAGGGGGACAACAGUUGGAAACGACUGCUAAUACCGCGUGAAGCAUAGGGGUCGCACGAUUCUUAUGCCAAAGAUUUAUCGCUUCAAGAUGGCCUCGCGU
rnacentral:rRNA from 1 species